GAUUUAUUGGGCGUAAAGGGAGCGCNGGCGGUCAGGAAAGUCUGGAGUAAAAGGCUAUGGNUCAACCAUAGUGUGCUCUGGAAACUGUCUGACUUGAGUGCAGAAGGGGAGAGUGGAAUUCCAUGUGUAGCGGUGAAAUGCGUAGAUAUAUGGAGGAACACCAGUGGCGAAAGCGGCUCUCUGGUCUGUCACUGACGCUGAGGCCCGAAAGCGUGGGUAGCGAACAGGAUUAGAUACCCUGGUAGUNCACGCCGUAAACGAUGAGUGCUAGGUGUUAGGCCCUUUCCGGGGCUUAGUGCCGGAGCUAACGCAAUAAGCACUCCGCCUGGGGAGUACGACCGCAAGGUUGAAACUCAAAGGAAUUGACGGGGGCCCGCACAAGCGGUGGAGCAUGUGGUUUAAUUCGAAGCAACGCGAAGAACCUUACCAGGUCUUGACAUCCCGAUGCUAUUCUUAGAGAUAGGAAGUUACUUCGGUACAUCGGAGACAGGUGGUGCAUGGUUGUCGUCAGCUCGUGUCGUGAGAUGUUGGGUUAAGUCCCGCAACGAGCGCAACCCUUAUUGUUAGUUGCCAUCAUUAAGUUGGGCACUCUAGCGAGACUGCCGGUAAUAAACCGGAGGAAGGUGGGGAUGACGUCAAAUCAUCAUGCCCCUUAUGACCUGGGCUACACACGUGCUACAAUGGUCGGUACAACGAGUUGCGAGCCGGUGACGGCAAGCUAAUCUCUGAAAGCCGAUCUCAGUUCGGAUUGGAGGCUGCAACUCGCCUCCAUGAAGUCGGAAUCGCUAGUAAUCGCGGAUCAGCACGCCGCGGUGAAUACGUUCCCGGGCCUUGUACACACCGCCCGUCACACCACGAGAGUUUGUAACACCCGAAGUCGGUGAGGUAACCUUUUAGGGGCC
rnacentral:rRNA from 1 species